rnacentral:rRNA from 1 species
AAACCAACAGGGAUUGCCCUAGUAACGGCGAGUGAACAGGCAAGAGCUCAGAUUUGAAAGGCACUUUUGUGCCGUUGUAUUUUGAAGUUAGGGUCCUGAGAAACGAUGCUUAAGUUUUUUGGAAAGGAGCGCCAUGGAGGGUGAUAGCCCCGUCUAGCAUUGACCUCAUAUAGGAUCUUAACAUGGAGUCGAGUUGUUUGGGAAUGCAGCUCAAAUGGGUGGUAUGCUCCAUCAAAGCUAAAUAUUUGCGAGAGACCGAUAGUAAACAAGUACUGUGAGGGAAAGAUGAAAAGAACUUUGAAAAGAGAGUGAAAAAGUACGUGAAAUUGUUGAAAUGGAAGGGUAGGCCGCUAACCAUGUAGAGCCGUGUUUGGGGGGAAGAUAAAUGCUGUAGAAUGUAGCUCCUCGGAGUAUUAUAGAUGCAGUUCAUAUUCCCACCCGAGCGCGAGGAUCUCAGGUUCUACUAAAUGGUGGUCUACCAC